UUAAGGCAUAAACCAUCGAUAGUGAAAUAAAUUAUCGAUAGUAAGAUGAAAAUAAAACUAUCCAAAGUUCCAUGUAUUGUGUUGAAGCUUUAAGUUUCAACUCUUAGUUCAGUGAGGAUCAUUGUUGCCAAAUACUUAAUAAUUGUAUUACAAUUUUGUCAAGCAGACGCUACAGUGUUCAAUAGCUGUCUUCGGCCUCUACAAAAAAUCAAACAACAGUAUUUAAUUCGUUUUCCUUCGGUCAUUCACCCAAAGUUUCAACGUUUGGAUUGAGUUUAUUUAUGUAUACCGGUGUUUGUGCAACUAUGUCAUUCCGUAGUAAAAUAUAAGGAUAUCAAUAUAUAUCACACCACAUCACUGAUGUUAAUAUCUAUUUAUUAUUUGGAAUGACCUUGUUAAUGGUAAACCCUUCGCUUCCAAAUAAGUUAUGAUUUCAGGAAAUUUGUUGAAAUUCGAUUACAUAUUAUAUAUACGAG